ACCUCCUGUACCAGAGAAGCAUGGCAGUGCCCUUCAGCUGCAGAUGUGGCUAUGGGAGCAUUUCGCAUAAAUUACUAUGUAUCCUUAAAUAUGUAUGACAUUUGUGACUUCUGUUGGGAUUAUUUAUUAUACUAGUUUAAUCAAACAAUUUAUCAAAUUAUUUCUACCAACUGUUAGCAGUUUUGAUAUCUGCUGUAAAAGCAACCACAGCUAAGUUUGGGGUGGAGGUGGGGGUGUUCUAUGAAUAAAAUAUAUUUCUUCAUGAGCUUAUUAAAAGCAUUUGCAAUAAGCAGCCUACCCAACCAGAUCACAGCUUUGAGAAAAUGAUUACUGUUUUUCCUUGUGAUUCAAGAAUGCACUGAGCAAAUGUCAGUUUUGGGGAGCUGAUUCAAUUCAAGGCAAACAAUUUCAUUCACAGUGAGUAUCAUGAGCUUUGCCUCUUGUCUAACAAGUUCCUGAUCCUGCUAAAAACAUGUCAUAUAACUGCGAGACAAAUGUGUCAGCAAAUCAAUUGUCACACUUCAUCUAUUUCUUGAAACUGGCCAUGUUUUCACUGAGUUCAUUAAACAAUUGGUAUCACCCUUUGAUACAUUUGGAGUAUACAGCUAGAACAACAAUUACAGGGCAAAACAAGUAACCUCUCACGCUCAGUAAUAAUCAAGGUAUAUGUGCAACUAUAUACAAGUAUACAUACACCUGUCUAUAUAGCUUUAGCAGGAACUGAUAUUUUGUCUUUACCUCAAUGACAAGUCACCUUUUUUCCUUUCUUUUAUUUCUUUCCUCCCUUCCUCCCUUCACCCCCCACACAUUAAGUGUGCUGUCUUUGGUAUAAGUACACAGGCAAAAAAAGGUAAUCUCUGAGUUUAUUUCCCUUCAGGAUUUGAAAAAAGCCAUUAUCUGCUCAGUACCUCAUCACAGAAAAACACUAUGUGCUGCCAGUGUGGCAGAAUUCUGUGUCACUUGGAUCUUCCCUUACUUGUAGAAGUGAUAAGUACUGGAUCUGUCAAGUGACAAAAUCAUUGGCUGUGACCUAAAUUCUCCCUAAAACAUGGUAUGGAGAAAGAACCCACACACAUAGCUUUAACUUCUCAAUCCUACUCUGUCUUCAGUUGCUUGCUGUGACCUUUCUUAGAAAGGAUAAGCUUAUUCACAGAAGAGAUAGUCGCCUCUGCAAAAUGUUUGCUCCCAUUUUAUGAAAGAGUUGAAAGUUUCUGACUUUUCUUAAUUUGCUCAUUGUAUUUCCACUUAACUGGAAUUGCCACAACUUGGUAUCUGUUCCUCUUCUACUCACAACAAAUUCCACGCUGGCUUCAAGCCCUAAAAAGGAACUUCUGAUAUGCUGUUGGAUUAGACUUCUGCUUUUGUUAAAAAUAAUGAGUAACACUUGAAAAUUAUGAAAGUAUUAAUCCCUCCAAUUAGUUUGUGAACUCUUUACUGUGAUCUUGAGAGCUGUAGACCCUAAACGGUAUUCUAAUUAUGAAAUGAGAACACUGAAGCUACUGAGAUACUCUAGUUUGAAGAGAUUAUAAGAGAAAAAAUGACUAACAGUGACAGAUACUUAGAAAGUGAAGAUGGACCUGAGCUCAGCAUGUGCAGGGUCUGUGAAAGGAGAAAAAUGUACAUGGAUCAAAAAUCAACGUCAAAAUAAAAAAUUUUUAAAAAGAGAAGCCAAUUAUGCACCAUGGGCAGUGUGGAGCAGAGGAAUAUUUUUCAAAAAGUUCAGGCAAAGGCAUAAUGUAUGAGCAAACACUAAAAGAAUAUUUUAGUCAGAAGAUCAUCAUCCACGUGAGUGAUGUGCAUUUGCAACAUGACCGGCAGUCUUGACAGUGACAAGAAGGAGGACAGACACUACUGUUGUGUUCAUGCACAAAGCAAUUUUACCCUGGGAGGAGACAGCAGAAGAGACUGACUACAAUCAUAUGAUCCUGCUCAGUUUCAUUUCAAAUCAUCCUAAACUGCAUUUGUGCUGACCUGGUCUGUGGUUACUCAGUUUGAUACAGAAUACAAAGAGACGGUCAGAAAAUAUAAUGGGGGAAAAAAAAAAGGAAAGCAGGACUAAAAUAGCAAUGGCAUGAUAUGUGCUUUCCCGUUCUUUUCUCUAAGGAUUUGUGUUAGUGGAAAAUACCUAUUUCAGCAGCCUGACAGAGGCAGGACUGCUGCCACUCCACAUCCCCAGCUCUAAUCUGUAAUGAGGCUGAACAUGUAUUCCCAGCUGACACACAGGGCACAUGCAUACAGCACAAAAUACAAAUAUAUACACUGCUGGCCAUACAGAUAAUGUAAAGACACACAGACCACUCACACCAACACUGACAGCACCACCAGCCUCAUCCUGCUGUCUGCUCUAGCUGGGGAGAACAGAGGUCCUUAAGUGGCAGCCUAUAUACACAGCUACAAGAUGGUGCCUUCCAGCAGAAGACUUUGGUGUGUCCAGCAGCUGCUCCUGGAUCCUGGUCUCCCCAUUUACUGCCACCUGGAUGUACAAGCUCUCAAAGCCACAGCCCCACUCCUGCUGCUGGUACAAACCCUCAUCACACACAUACACCCAGAGCUGUUGGGGAAUUCUCUGGUCCCUAUAGUCCCCUUCCUGUGCUCUUGCCCCUGGAUGCCAGCAGCCACUCCCCACCCAGAGGUGGCCCUCAGACAUCUCCAAACCCAUCCCUGUCCCCAACCCACUCAUCUGCAUUACCUUUGCCAGCAAUCACAUCCACACUUGCACCAGCUCCUGCACCACAAACAACCUCAUCUACCCCCUUACACACAAGAAAUAAAGAGCCCCUUACUGGAAAGCAGCUGAAUGUGCAUUUACUGAAGAGAGAAAACAGAUUGUGCUGGUCAGGAGCAGGGCACAGCUAGACAACUCUCCACACAGGUGAACCUCUUUAUUACCUUGUUCCACACUUGUUAGUCACCCAAUCUCUUAAACCCCUACUUUGUUCUGCUUUUGAUUUCUCCUCUGAAUACCUGUGAUGAAUUCCCAAAAGCUCUUGCCCUGCAUCAUGUUAUGUGUCUCACACCUCCAGCUAGCAUGUCCCCUUAGCAACCUGGAAAGCUGCUUCCCAUCACACAUAGAUGGAUUGAUAGAUUUCAUACCUGGACACCAGUGCUGAGCCUCUUCUGGGCCAGCCCUGGGAGGGGACCAGAGAGGGUGUCCUUUCCCCUUAGUCCUUACUUUGCUUUCCUAUCUUCCAUUGCCACUGUGCUCCUUUGGGCUAGCAAAGAUGGGCCUUUCACGACUCUCCUGUGGUGGCAAUCAAUCAAUCUGUCAGUAGCCUAACAAACCAUGUAUUUAAAUCUACUUAAUAUUUCUUUUUUAAGCCAAACAAAGUUAGACAACAACAAAUAAGAACAGGUAAGCAUAAACAAAGUACAAGAGUAGGGAAACAGAAAUCCAGAAUCUACAUCAUCAUACUGCUUGUGAUUGUCAUAUAAACUGGUGUGGAAGAGGUUUUACAGCGACUUCUGUGAGCCAGAGAGAAGUUUGAUAAGAGGAUCCAUGUUUACCCUGAAAGAAUUCUCUACCAAGGUCGUUGACAUAGGAACCAAGAGAGAAAGAAGGAUAAAUAAGAGAAGCCUGCAACUGUCUAUUGCAAUAAGCACUUUGUUUGUCUUUCCUGACCAAUGAGUAAAGUGUAUACUCAUGAGUUUUGUAAGAAUCUAUAAAAAGCAUGCAU